rnacentral:rRNA from 1 species
AAUUUUGGUCGAUGGGGGCAACCCUGAUCCACCCAUCCCGCGUGUGCGAUGAAGGCCUUCGGUUGGUAAAGCACUUUUGGCAGGGACGAAAAGGCCCUGGCUAAUACCCGGAGCUGCUGACGGUACCUGCAGAAUAAGCACCGGCUAUCUACGUGCCAGCAGCCGCGGUAAUACGCAGGGUGUAAGCGUUAAUCGGAAUUCCUGGGCGUAAAGCGUGCGCAGGCGGUUCGGCAAGAAAGAUGUGAAAUCCCAGGGCUUAACCUUGGAACUGCAUUCUUAACUGCCGGGCUAGAGUAUGUCAGAGGGGGGUAGAAUUCCGCGUGUAGCAGUGAAAUGCGUAGAGAUGCGGAGGAAUACCGAUGGCGAAGGCAGCCCCCUGGGAUAAUACUGACGCUCAUGCACGAAAGCGUGGGGAGCAAAC